GUGACCCGAAAUAGUAAAAUGGUUUUCGGAUGAUAACUCAAGAACGCAUACGCUUAGGAUCAUGAAACUUCAUGGGUAGAUUGAUCAUGACUCGCAGAUGACCCCUAUUGAUUUUGAGGUCACUAGGUCAAAGGUCAAGGUCACGGUGACCCGAAAUAGUAAAAUAGUUUCCGGAUGAUAACUCAAGAACGCAUACGCCUAGGAUCAUGAAACUUCAUUGGUAGAUUGAUCAUGACUCGCAGAUGACCCCUAUCAAUUUUGAGGUCACUAGGUCAAAGGUCAAGGUCACGGUGACCCGAAAUAGUAAAAUGGUUUCCGGAUGAUAACUCAAGAACGCAUACGCCUAGGAUCAUGAAACUUCAUAGGUAGA